CCUUAGAGUUUGAUCCUGGCUCAGGAUGAACGCUAGCUACAGGCUUAACACAUGCAAGUCGAGGGGCAGCGGGAUUGAAGCUUGCUUCAAUUGCCGGCGACCGGCGCACGGGUGAGUAACGCGUAUCCAACCUUCCGUACACUCAGGGAUAGCCUUUCGAAAGAAAGAUUAAUACCUGAUGGUAUGAUGAGAUUGUAUGAUAGCAUCAUUAAAGAUUUAUCGGUGUACGAUGGGGAUGCGUUCCAUUAGGUAGUAGGCGGGGUAACGGCCCACCUAGCCAACGAUGGAUAGGGGUUCUGAGAGGAAGGUCCCCCCACAUUGGAACUGAGACACGGUCCAAACUCCUACGGGAGGCAGCAGUGAGGAAUAUUGGUCAAUGGACGAGAGUCUGAACCAGCCAAGUAGCGUGAAGGAUGAAGGUCCUACGGAUUGUAAACUUCUUUUAUAAGGGAAUAAACCCUCCCACGUGUGGGAGCUUGUAUGUACCUUAUGAAUAAGCAUCGGCUAACUCCGUGCCAGCAGCCGCGGUAAUACGGAGGAUGCGAGCGUUAUCCGGAUUUAUUGGGUUUAAAGGGAGCGCAGACGGGUCGUUAAGUCAGCUGUGAAAGUUUGGGGCUCAGCCUUAAAAUUGCAGUUGAUACUGGCGUCCUUGAGUGCGGUUGAGGUGUGCGGAAUUCGUGGUGUAGCGGUGAAAUGCUUAGAUAUCACGAAGAACUCCGAUUGCGAAGGCAGCACACUAAUCCGUAACUGACGUUCAUGCUCGAAAGUGUGGGUAUCAAACAGGAUUAGAUACCCUGGUAGUCCACACGGUAAACGAUGGAUACUCGCUGUUGGCGAUAUACUGUCAGCGGCUUAGCGAAAGCGUUAAGUAUCCCACCUGGGGAGUACGCCGGCAACGGUGAAACUCAAAUGAAUUG
rnacentral:rRNA from 1 species